rnacentral:rRNA from 1 species
AACGAACGCUGGCGGCAGGCUUAACACAUGCGAGUCGCGCGCCACGCAAGGGGAGUGGCAGACGGGUGAGUAAGGCGUGAGAAUCACCCCAUCUCUACGGAAUAACGCAUGGAAACGUGUGCUAAUAGCGUCUACGUCCUUCGGGAGAAAGAUCUGAUCGGAGAUGGAUGGGCCCGCGUUGGAUUAGCUAGUCGGUGGGGUAAAGGUCUGCCAAGGCGACGAUCCAUAGCUGGUCGGAGAGGAUGAACAGCCACACUGGGACUGAGACACGGCCCAGACUGCUACGGGAGUCAGCAGUGGGGAAUCUUAGACAAUGUACGCAAGCCUGAUCCGGCCAUGCCGCGUGAGUGAUGAAGGCCCUAGGGUUGUAAAGCUCUUUCACCGGUGAAGAUAUUGACGGUAACCGAUGAAGAAGCCCCGGCUAACUUCGUGCCGGCCGCCGCCGUAAUAC